CUCGCUUGAGCACAGUCCAAGAUGAAAGUUUCUGGGUUGUUUCCCUUCGCUUCCUCUCACCCUCGCUCCCCCUCGGAGCCGCAGAGCCAGCAAUUGUGCAAGAAGAGCCGGGUGUGCAGGGCGCGUAUCACCAAGCGCAUGGUACGAGCCGCCGACUCUGGUGAUUAAUUAUCAGUUGCCGCUGGCCUCACACUAACACGUCGGCUUUCCGGGCAGAGCCAGCACACCCAGCCGCCGGCAGCGCGGCCCGGACCGAGCAGCGGCUCUGGGGAGGACGCCGCGGCUGCGCCCGAGUGUGAGUGCGCUGGCCAGCGGGCGGGCGGGCGGACGGGCGAGUGUGCGGGAGCCGAGCCGGCGCUGGCGCCGGCGGGAGCGCAGGGGCGAGCGUGGAGGUGGACGGGCGGGANNNNGGUGCAGGGGAACUGGGACCGGCCGGCACGGCCCGCCACGCACACCGCCGCCUCCUCCUCGACCCCAGGCGCUGGCAGCGAUUCCUGCACAGCCUCCUCUCCGCAGGUCGAGUCGAGCUGCUUCCAGCCCAUGAAGUCGGUCUAGCUGUGCAGAGGGGCCCCUACAUUUUAUGGCUGUUUGGUUGGAGAACCUACUCCAAGACAGCAGACACUUUGAUGAAGUGAUUAAUACAGAUAGAAAGAUACAUUUGUUGGGUGGUGGUUUUUUUUAUUUUUAAUUUCAAACAGAAAACAAAGAAAUAAAGUCUUCCCAUGA
rnacentral:lncRNA from 1 species